UCGACGGAGACGGCAUGGUUCACGCUGUCCAAUUCAAAGACGGCGAUGCUAGCUACGCCUGCCGCUUCACCGAGACGCAGCGUCUGAUCCAAGAGCGAGAUUUCGGCCGGCCGGUGUUCCCCAAGGCCAUCGGCGAGCUCCACGGCCACUCCGGCAUCGCUCGCCUCCUCCUCUUCUACGCUCGCGGACUCUUCGGUCUGGUCGACCACAGUCACGGCACCGGCGUUGCCAACGCUGGGCUCGUCUAUUUCAACCGUAGACUCCUCGCCAUGUCGGAGGACGACUUGC
rnacentral:lncRNA from 1 species